rnacentral:rRNA from 1 species
GACGAACGCUGGCGGCGUGCUUAACACAUGCAAGUCGAACGGUGAAGCGCCUUCUUUUUUGGUUGGUGUGGAUGCGUGGCGAACGGGUGAGUAACACGUGAGUAACCUGCCCCCUUCUUCUGGAUAACCGCAUGAAAGUGUGGCCAAUACGGGAUAUUCUGGGUCUUUCGCUUGAUGUGUCUGGGACAGAUAUUUUUUCGGUGGGGGAUGGUCUGGCGGCCUAUCAGUUUGUUGGUGGGGUGAUGGCCUACCAAGGCGGUGACGGGUAGCCGGCGUGGGAGGGUGGACGGUCACACUGGGACUGAGACACGGCCCAGACUCCGACGGGAGGCAGCAGGGGGGAAUAGUGCACAAUGGGCGCAAGCCUGAUGCAGCGACGCCGCGUGAGGGAUGGAGGCCUUCGGGUUGUGAACCUCUUUCGCGAGUGAAGCGGGCCUGCCUCGUUUGUGGGUGGGUUGACGGUAGCUGGAUAAGAAGCGCCGGCUAACUACGUG